CCCCUAGAUGUUCUGGGCCGCACGCGCGCUACACUGAACAGUUCAACAAGUCUUAACCUUGGCCGAUAGGUCUGGGUAAUCUUUGAACGCUGUUCGUGAUUGGGAUAGACCUUUGCAAUUAUGGGUCUUCAACGAGGAAUUCCUAGUAAACGCAAGUCAUCAGCUUGCAUUUAUUACGUCCCUGCCCUUUGUACACACCGCCCGUCGCACCUACCGAUUGAAUGGUCCGGUGAAAUCUCGGGACGGCGGCUUGGUCGCUUGCGUCCGACUGCUGAAACUUGAUUAAACCAUAUCAUUUAGAGGAAGGUGAANUCGUAACA
rnacentral:rRNA from 1 species